AGCGAACGCUGGCGGCAGGCCUAACACAUGCAAGUCGAACGAAGUCUUCGGACUUAGUGGCGGACGGGUGAGUAACACGUGGGAACGUACCUUUUGGUUCGGAACAACUCAGGGAAACUUGAGCUAAUACCGAAUGUGCCCUUGGGGAAAGAUUUAUCGCCAUUAGAGCGGCCCGCGUUAGAUUAGCUAGUUGGUGGGUA
rnacentral:rRNA from 1 species